ensembl:rRNA 5S_rRNA 5S ribosomal RNA
GCCAGCAGCCAUUUCACCCUGCAACUCACAACUGGCAACCCACUGAAGCUAAGCAGGUGUGAGCCUGGUCAGUACCUGGAUGGGAGACCUCCUGGGAAAAACUAAGGUUGCUGCUGGAA